rnacentral:lncRNA from 1 species
GACACUCUGUACCUGUCUCACAUCUUCUCCAGUUAUUGAUAAGGAGUUCCUCAUUUCCUCCCCCUUUUUUCUUCCUCCCAGGUGCUCCUCUUUUUCCUUCUCCCAUGACCAUUCUGUUCCCCCCAGCCCCCAGCCAACAUCAAACUAAAUGGAGAGAGACUCAAAGCAAUCCCAUUAAAAUCACGGACAAGGCAAUGGUGCCCACUCUCUCUGUGUUAUAAUCCCUGCUAUUAAGCAUCAUCUUUACCUUGUCCCUAUAUUUUCAAAUCUUCAGCUAGAGAAACUAGAUAUUCCAUUAUGUAGAAUGACCCUUUUUGCCUCUACAUGUGAGAUAGAGCAUAUACUGCUUUUCUUAUAUUCCAUUUAAGAAGAAGGAUUUAUUUGUUCAUUGUGGCUUAAAAAUACUGCACUAUGAAUCUACAUUAUAUUUGACUUAUCAAAUUAUCCACUGAUGUCCAUCUAAAUGGAUUCCACAUGUUGAGAACUAUAAAUAACGCUAAAAUAAGCAUGAAAAUGAAUGCAUCUCAUAUAUUAACUACAUUUUUUGUUUUGUUUUGUUUUGUUUUGUUUUGUUUUGUUUUGUUUUUCGAGGCAGGGUUUCUCUGUGUAGCCCUGGCUGUCCUGGAACUCCCUUUGUAGACCAGGCUGGCCUCAAACUCAGAAAUCUGCCUGCCUCUGUUAACUACAGUUUUGUAUCUAUCCUAGGUAUGGUAUAUUUUUUCCUUUCCUUUCUUGUAGAAGUUUCAUAAUUUCCAGGCUACUGUUUAGAUUAUUAUCUGUUUUGAGGGUUAAUUCUUGUAGCAGGUGAGACAAACACAGUUUUAGAUUCCUGUUUGUGAAUAUCUAAUUUCUCCAGCAUACUGAGGAGUCUUUUCUUCCUCUAAUGAAGACUUUGGCAACUUUCUUUGAGGAGUCUUAAUUAUCAUCAGUUGGACCUAGGUUUGUCAGCUUAUUUCUAUAAUCUCAUCUGGCUCAUUGUGCCUUGUGUUUUUAAGUCAGUUUCAUGACAGUUUAGUUUCUAUAGCUUUGUAAAAUGACUGAAAUCAGUAUUAUUAUGUCUCCAAGUUUGUUCAUUUUCUUUGAAAUUAGUUUAGUUGUUCAGAGACUUUUGUGCUUUUGAACACAUUUUAGCCAAUAGUCUUUUAAUGAGGAUUUAAUUGAAUCUGUUGAUUGCUUUGGGUGUGUAAGUAUUAAAAUUUAAAACAAUAUUUAUUUUUCUAAUAUGUGAAUAUGGAAAGUAAUUCCAGUUGUGUUUUUUCUUGAAGUUUUUAUCAGUAUUUUAUAACAUUUAAUAUAGAGGUAUUGGACUUCCUUGGUGAAACUAUUUACCCUGAUGAAUUUAUGUGUGUGUGUGUGUGUGUCUGCAUGUGUGCAUGUGUGUUGAUAAUGACGCAAGUGGCCAUGUACUGAGAGACUUUUUCUGUCUCUAGGACCCUGGGACGAUGAAGUGGAUUCUAUUGUCCAAAGUAGAUACACUACAUGAGAAGUCAAUACAGAGUCACCACAGGGUCCACAUUAGGAGUGAGACUGAUGAUAUCAUGGAUACAGAGUAAUCUCAAUAGCAACAGCAGAGAGGAACUGUGAAAUGCAGAACAUAUACACUGAGGCCAAGCAAAAGGUUUCUAAUGAUCAUAUAGCAUAUCAUAUAGGUAUAGCAAUGCAAAAUAGGACCUAGCCCAUAUUUGAUGGUGGGUUAGUAUAAUUGUUUGGCCCUAAAAGUGUCACUGUGAUGCAAUAGUCUGGGACACCCUGGUUCUAUAUGCAACCUAAGCUUGUUACUUGAAGCAAAGGAGUAAUUCUCGCUCCAGGUAGCUCUCUUAAAUGGCUUCCUAGUCUAUAACAGUAUAUAAUUAGCUGGUUUCUAAGUUCACUGCUCCCUGCAGUGAUACAGCCUUCCUCGCCCAAGACUGUUUAUGUAUGCCUGUUGUCUUGUGAGGUGUACCCUUCCACAGCAGAGGGGGCAGGGUCACAGUCACUAGGGCACUUUACUCUCCUGACUAUGACAAUGUCUUCUCUUUUCCUUUUCAGAUUUCUCUCUUUCUUUGCUCACUCUCAGUGACACUCAUAUCUAGAUGGAGUCACUUUUUUUGUAACUGGUUCUUUGUAGAGGAUGAAGAAGCAAUAGAUGCUUUUUUUUAAAAAAAAUUAAGAUUCUAGAACAGACAUUGUCUUUAAAUUGUGACUUCAGUAAGAUAUCCCUUAUCACAGAAAAAAAUAAUAACCUGAAUGCAUUAUCCAACAUAUCAGCGAUCUGCAACAUACUGCAAGUUAUCUUUCUGAUAACUAUCCUCUGAUGAUUUGUUAAACAUACAAGAUUUUUCUCAAUCAUAUUUCAGGUUUCUUAAUGAAAAAAGGUAAACAAUGAAAAUAAUUAUAAAUUUGAAUUUUAUUUAUUUUUCUUAUUUAUGUAUUUUAUUACUUUUAUUAUAAUAGAGUAUAGCAUUAUGUGCAUUUCUAUUAUGUAUUAUAUUUUUAUUUAUUCUCUUAUUUAUGUGUUUAUUUAUUCAGUGUGCAUAUGUGAAUGCACAUUCAUUCACACAUGUGCCAUGCAUAAGGAAGCCAGAAGUCAACCUUGGUGCCCUCCACAAUCUUUCUGUUGUUUUGCUCUGAUAAGGUUUCUCUUUCUGGUAGUGGGUUGGUGAAGUCAGCUUGGAUAGUUAGGUAAUGAGGACUAAGUAUCUGUCUACCUCCAUCUCCUCAUGCUCAGACAACAAGCCAUGUGCCACUGUGCCCAGUGUUCUUAUGUGAAUUUUGGGACAGAAUCUCUGUUCUUCAUGCUUGUAACACAAGGACUAAGAUAUCUCCUGGUCUCUAAAUUUGGAUCUUUUAAAGUAAAAAAAUAAAUAUCACCUAUAUUGCUUUAGUAC